rnacentral:rRNA from 1 species
CCUACGGGAGGCAGCAGUGGGGGAUAUUGCACAAUGGGGGGAACCCUGAUGCAGCGACGCCGCGUGGGUGAAGGAGCGUUUCGGCGCGUAAAGCCCUAUCGGCAGGGAAGAAGGAGGACGGUACCUGACUAAGAAGCCCCGGCUAACUACGUGCCAGCAGCCGCGGUAAUACGUAGGUGGCAAGCGUUGUCCGGAAUUACUGGGUGUAAAGGGAGCGCAGGCGGGAAGCCAAGUCAGCUGUGAAAACCCUCGGCUUAACUGAGGAACUGCAACUAAAACUACUUCCCUUGAGUACUGGAGAGGAAAGUGGAAUUCCUAGUGUAGCGGUGAAAUGCGUAGAUAUUAGGAGGAACACCAGUGGCGAAGGCGACUUUCUGGACAGUAACUGACGUUGAGGCACGAAAGUGUGGGGAGCAAACAGGAUUAGAUACCCUUGUAGUC